CAAAGAGGGGAGAGAUUUAGAAGAAGUUCGAGAGGGAUUUUGAAAAUAUAAACCCAAGGUAAUAAGGCUUGAGGAGGUGAUCAUGGAGCUUCCUUCGACCCUUUUUGUAUAUGUUAAAAAUUCCCUUUUGUUCAUGAAGACUUUGCUUGGCUUGGUGUCUUUGUUAUUUAUAUUAUGGCUAGUAUCAUGUUUUGAGAUAUACUUUUGAUGUAUGUAUAUUUGUGUGUAUACCUUCUUUCGCCUAUGGCGGCCACAUGGUUACCAGCUAGUCACAGAUCUGAAUUCCAAAGAGGGUGGGGUUCGGGUCGUGACAAUGUAUUUUUAUAUAAUUUUGCUGUCUUUUCUUAAGAAAAACAAAACUGGUGUGUUUUAAGUAUUUAUGAACUGAACUUGCCUACGGAUUGCCUUCAUUAUAUUUUUUAAUGGAAGAGGUUAAAUGUUUUGUUGUA